GCAUCUCCUGUUCUUCGAGGAGUGGUGGCAGUGUCGGCGUGAUGCCUGUGCGCUCCUAAAGGUAAGCUGUUUCUGCUCUAGCUCCUCUGUGCUCCCUCCCUCACUCCCUCCCACCCUUACACGUGCUCGCUCUCGCUCUCUCUCUCUCUCCUCCACUCUGUCUCACUACCCCCUCCACCCAACCCCCCGUUCAGAGCAGCUGAUUCAGCGAGUCGGCACGCGAUGGCUGCAGCGGCAACCGGAGAGCUCGGGAGGUCGUUACGGCUCCUCGCAUGCCGGAGCGCUGCCGGAGGGUGGAGCGCAGGAGCGGAAGAGCCGGUGCUGACAGAAACCGCAUGGCUCGUCAGCCGGUGUGUGUGUGUGUGUGUGUGUGCGUGCGCGCGGCAUGCUCGGAGAGGGGGGGGGAGUGGAAUUUACUGUGCUGCAUCAGUGCGAUCGGAAGAAGUACUCCGGCAGCAUCUCAGGGAACACGAGGGGGCUCUCCCCACGCACCCACCUGCCUCCCAGCUCCACCCCCCCCUUACAGCAACUCACAGGAACGGCAGGUGAAGACGGAACCUGGGGAAAGUUGCUACCAUCCACAUGGAUUUGCCCGCUCGCUUGCUCCCUCCCUCCCGUCCCGUACCCCCUCCCCCUAUGCAGUUUUAGUGCUGCCCAGGCAGAAGACUACUGCAGCACAGAAUUCCCAGGCUCGUUAGCCCCUCACAGCUCCCGCGCUACUGCUAUCUAAUGGCAGACUUGUUAACUCAAGCCUACUCGAAUCUGGAUCACAUGGGGGGGCUUUCUUCCUCCCCCCACCCAACUCCCCCCUCCUCAACAGCUUGGACCGCUGGCUAAGACUCCCCACACAAGGUACCAAACGGAAUACAGUUCUGCGCUGGGACACCCACAGCACCUUGCGGUGCCUUUUUUUUUUUUUUUGCGACACCUUCACUUGUGGGUGUAUUUUGUUUAAUUUUUGGAAUCUUGUUUGGAGUUUCUGGAGAAGGAGCAGUAUGUGUGUGUGUGUGUGCGUGUGCGUGCAUGGACAGCUACUGAUGAAGGGACACGGACAUGGUGGUGGGACGUGAGGUUCAAGCAAGACGGACGGCGCGGGGGUGGGGGGGGGAGAAGCGGACUGACGAAAAACAGCUGUGGUGGCGUAUUAAUUCUCUGGAGGGCGAGCGGGGUUGGCAGUGUGGCUUCUGGAUAUGUUUGUCACUUGCUGAACCCAUGACACCCGGGAUAACAGCCUACGUUCGCUGUAGGGAUCACUGCACGCUCUCCAAGCAGAAGGCAGGGGCAGGGCAAUAGCACUGCAGUGACUCCACCCCCCACUCCUCCACCCCCGCCCUGCCGCACAGCGGGGAGCAAGACGGGCCGUGCCGCCUCCGUGCCCUGUGGCCCCCGGCCGGAGGAGGACCUCCCUCGUCUGCUGGCUCGGCUCCGCGGACCUCUCGGAUCGCCGCGACAUUUCCUAGACUGGACGUUGUGCUCCGAGACAGGGCCGCUCCGGGGCCCUCCUAAUUAAAGGCCCUUCCCGGCACCCUGACAUCACCGUGCGGCUGAGCCUCCACUGCACGACUCCGGCCAUGACGCGUCAAUAUCCAGCUCUGUCAUGCAAAAAAAAAAAAAACCUGUACAAAAACCACUUCAGCCAGGAUUUCCACUAGUUCCCAGAAUAGCACGUUUAAGUGAGCUGCUGUUCUUUUUCCACCCUUGCCCUCUCCUCCCAGCUGGGUGUCUGAUAGCAGGGGGGGGUGGGGGGGUUUGGAGGCGUUGACUUGUGGAAUGUGUGGAGCUGGAGCAAAGAUUCAUUAGAGGGCUCCUGCCCAUUUCACGCCACCGCGCCAAUGGCUAUCGAUCUCCGGGAUCUAGCCAAACGCCCGCACCUAGUGAACAGCAGCGGGUAAACACGCAGAAGAGGCAGGCUUCAAAUAGUCACACGGGCUGCAAAAACCUAAAAAAGAAAAAAAGGGGAGGUGUGUUCCAUUUUUUUCCCCUCUCGCCAGCACACCCAGUCCAGUUCACGAGUGCUGAGUGGGCAUUAGCUCUUGCAUGUGACCUCUGGCCCGGUGCACGCGGCUAAAGCCCAGAUCCCGCUCACAAUAGCUUCCUGUUCCACUUGGAUCAACCUCGUUUUCAAACGUCGGCAGCCGGCCUGAAAUAUGGCCAGGGGUGGGGAGGCGUGGCGGCGGGGGGAUACGGUCAGCAGUAAAGUUAUGGGGCGUGAGAGAGAGGAGAGCGGGUGCGAGGGAGCUUUAAAGACAAACAAAACAAAAAAAGCUGGAGGCUUAUUAAGCUUAAACGUGUGCCAUUACGGCUAGGAUGGUGUACGGAUGUGAAGGAGCCCGGGAGAGAAGGGCUCUGGAGCCUCGCCUUGCCUCGGUUGCCUUUGCCGUACUUUUUUUUAUUAUUUUAUUUAUUUUUAUUUUUUUUUUUUAUACUGCCCUUUUUCUCUCCCUCGCCUCGGGAUAAAAAGACUGUGCUAACCUUUUUCCUUUUUCUUUUUUCGGAUUCGCAACGGAUGCGGUGGCCGUUGCUCUUUUCCGUAUUCCCUGUGGAUUCUCCCGGUGCUCUGGAGGACGGCCAGGGUCGGCGGAGCAGACGGCACUGCACAGACCUGGACACGUCUGACACGUGUCUGUGGGGGCGGUAGGGGAUCGGCCGGUUCUGCCGUGGCCGGGCUGGGAAUGGACCCCGAGCCACUGUUCGUAAAGCACGACUGAAAGUCACCUUACGUUAUAGUGCGUGCUGCCAUACCGCUGCAUUCUGCAGUGUGGUGAGAGGAGGAGGAAAAAUAAGACUGUGCUGCUGGACCACAAGAGAAUACAAAAAGUGCUGGAACGGCGGUGGUCUGCUGCAGCAGGACAGAGCGCCGCGGAGACGAUCCAGGAGGCCGCAGCAGAGAAGACGGAGGAGCAGCCCGGCACGCCACGCUCCCGCACCCAAACUCGUUGCUGGUGCACAAUGGCAUUCUUUAUUCUGGUUUACUGAGUUUUGGGUAUUUGCACGAGAAUCAGACCUAUAGAUCGUGCUAGACAAAUGUUAAACGCUAUGAAAAAUAAUAAUAAUAAUAAUAAUUUUUCAAAACCCA